AUUGAACGCUGGCGGAAUGCUUUACACAUGCAAGUCGAACGGUAGAGGGGGCAACCCCUCGAGAGUGGCGAACGGGUGAGUAAUAUAUCGGAACGUGCCCAGUCGUGGGGGAUAACGUAGCGAAAGUUACGCUAAUACCGCAUACGAUCUAAGGAUGAAAGCGGGGGAUCGCAAGACCUCGCGCGAUUGGAGCGGCCGAUAUCAGAUCAGGUAGUUGGUGGGGUAAAGGCUCACCAAGCCAACGAUCUGUAGCUGGUCUGAGAGGACGACCAGCCACACUGGAACUGAGACACGGUCCAGACUCCUACGGGAGGCAGCAGUGGGGAAUAUUGGACAAUGGACGCAAGUCUGAUCCAGCCAUUCCGCGUGCAGGAUGAAGGCCCUCGGGUUGUAAACUGCUUUUGUACGGAACGAAAAGGUCUCUCUUAAUACGGGGGACUCAUGACGGUACCGUAAGAAUAAGCACUGGCUAACUACGUGCCAGCAGCCGCCGUAAGAC
rnacentral:rRNA from 1 species